rnacentral:lncRNA from 1 species
AAGGGCAUAGUGUAGAAUACCAUUGUACACAUUUAUUGGAACAUCAUCUCGCAGCAGCUUCAGAAAGUUUCAUAAGCUCAGUGCUAUAAUAGGUGAACCAGUGAUCUUGGUGAAGUCUUGAUUUUGUUUUCUAUUAUACAAUCAGUAAAAUCCCAGCCAAGGUUUCAUGAGAAGAGGGACCGAUUUUUAUUUCGUUCCAAUCGUGCUUCCCUCUGUUAAACAAGGUGAAGGAAC